rnacentral:rRNA from 1 species
UACGAAGGGGGCUAGCGUUGUUCGGAAUCACUGGGCGUAAAGCGCACGUAGGCGGAUCUUUAAGUCAGAGGUGAAAUCCCAAGGCUCAACCUUGGAACUGCCUUUAAUACUGGGGAUCUUGAGUCCGGGAGAGGUGAGUGGAACUGCGAGUGUAGAGGUGAAAUUCGUAGAUAUUCGCAAGAACACCAGUGGCGAAGGCGGCUCACUGGCCCGGUACUGACGCUGAGGUGCGAAAGCGUGGGGAGCAAACAGG